rnacentral:rRNA from 1 species
CACUACGGCCAUACCACCCUGAACGCCCCCGAUCUCGUCUGAUCUCGGAAGCUAAGCAGGGUCGGGCCUGGUUAGUACUUGGAUGGGAGAAUUCACAAUCAUCCUGUCAUAAUCA